rnacentral:rRNA from 1 species
UACGGAGGGGGCUAGCGUUGUUCGGAAUUACUGGGCGUAAAGGGCGCGUAGGCGGUGCGAUCAGUCAGGCGUGAAAGGCCCGGGCUCAACCCGGGGACUGCGCUUGAUACUGUUGCGCUGUGAGUCCGGGAGAGGAUGGCGGAAUUCCCAGUGUAGAGGUGAAAUUCGUAGAUAUUGGGAAGAACACCGGUGGCGAAGGCGGCCAUCUGGACCGGCACUGACGCUGAGGCGCGAAAGCGUGGGGAGCAAA